AACGAACGCUGGCGGCAUGCCUAACACAUGCAAGUCGAACGAGACCUUCGGGUCUAGUGGCGCACGGGUGCGUAACGCGUGGGAACCUGCCCUUAGGUUCGGAAUAACUCCCCGAAAGGGGUGCUAAUACCGGAUAAUGUCUUCGGACCAAAGAUUUAUCGCCUUUGGAUGGGCCCGCGUUGGAUUAGCUAGUUGGUAGGGUAAAAGCCUACCAAGGCGACGAUCCAUAGCUGGUCUGAUAGGAUGACCAGCCACACUGGGACUGAGACACGGCCCAGACUCCUACGGGAGGCAGCAGUGGGGAAUAUUGGACAAUGGGCGAAAGCCUGAUCCAGCAAUGCCGCGUGAGUGAUGAAGGCCUUAGGGUUGUAAAGCUCUUUUACCCGGGAUGAUAAUGACAGUACCGGGAGAAUAAGCUCCGGCUAACUCCGUG
rnacentral:rRNA from 1 species